AAAAUUAAAAAUUAAAAAUUUUAAUUUUAAUUUUAGUUUUAAAAAUUUAUAAUUGGUAAUUUCAAAAUUCAAGUUUAUAGUUUUAAAUUUUAAAUUUUAAAUUUUAAUAUUAAAUUUUAAAUUUUUUAAUAUAAAUUUGAUAUUUAUAUUUUAAAAUUUAAAUUUGAUCUUAAAUUUUAAAUUUUAAAAUUAAAAAUUUUAAUUUUUGAAUUUAAAAAAAAGUAUUUUUAGGAUCACCCUGCUUGUUCCACCCAUGAAGAGAGAGAGAGAGAGAGAGAGAGAAUUUUUAAUUUAUUAUAAAAUUUAAAUUAUAAAUUCAAAAAUUAAAAUUUAUAAUUUUAAAAUUACAAAAUUAAAAAUUUAAAUUUUAAAUUAUUUAAUUUAAAAUUUAAAAUUUUGAUAUUUUAAUUUUUUUUAUAUUUAGAAUUUGAUAUGUUAUUUUUUAAAUUAAAAUUUCAUCUUAAAUUUAAUGUUCAAACUUUAAAAAAUUAAUUUUUUAAAAUUAUAAAUUUGAGAUUUUAAAAUUUAAAUUUUUAAUUUUAAUUUUUAAAUUAAAAGUUUAUAUUUUAAAUUUUAAAAUAUAAAUAUAAAAUAUAAAAGUUUAAAUUCUAAUAUAAAGAAAAAGAUAAUAUCAUUAUUUUUUAUUUUUAACUACCAACUUUAAUUCUUAUCCCAUCUUACCUAACCAAACGCUAUUUUUCUUAUUCCCAGCAAUAACUUAAUUUUUCAUCCAAACGCAAAAUUGAUCUAAUCCUCGCUUAUAUCUCAAUUUAUAUCUAUCCCCGGAAUACCUACUUUUUGCUUAUCCCCGAACCAAACGAUACCUAGAAGUCUAGAACCUUAUGUAACUAUACUAUUUAACAGUCAAAAGAUGAUUGAAUGAUUACUGAUUAGUUAUUUUAGGAAUGAAUCUUUAAUUGCAUUGUAUUUUAGAAACUAAUCUUUAGGAAUAAUUGAAUGGAAAUAGUAUAUUUGUUUUGCUUUUACUCAUUUGUUUAUUUUUUAUUUCAAUAUGUCAUGACAUAUUAUCAACGUAAAUUUAUUUAUACAUAUUAAAAUAAUAUUUUAUUUAAAUACUCUCGACGUAUCGUAUCCUAGAGUUUUGAGACAAUGCCGUAUCCCCGUGUCCGUAUCGUGUCGUAUCCGUAUCCCCGUAUC
rnacentral:lncRNA from 1 species